CCUACGGGAGGCAGCAGUGAGGAAUAUUGGUCAAUGGACGGAAGUCUGAACCAGCCAUGCCGCGUGCAGGAAGACGGCUCUAUGAGCUGUAAACUGCGUUUGUACAAGGGUAAACCUGAAUUCGUGUAUUCAGCUGAAAGUACUGUACGAAUAAGGAUCGGCUAACUCCGUGCCAGCAGACGCGGUAAUACGGAGGAUCCAAGCGUUAUCCGGAUUUAUGGGGUUUAAAGGGUGCGUAGGCGGAUUGAUAAGUUAGAGGUGAAAUGUCCGAGCUUAACUCGGGAACUGCCUCUAAUACUGUUGAUCUAGAGAGUAGAUGCGGUAGGCGGAAUGUAUGGUGUAGGGGUGAAAUGCUUAGAGAUCA
rnacentral:rRNA from 1 species